AUUCGUAUCAUCCGACGGAGCGUACAUAGACAUGAAUCACAUGAUAAAGGGAAAUAAAUCCUGAAGAAACGAUGCUCGUACAUAUAGAUGUCGGAGACGUGUUCUCACCAGCCCCUGUGGCCUAAUGGAUAAGGCAUCGGUCUCCUAAACCGGGGAUUGUGGGUUCGAGUCCCACCAGGGGUAAUGACAAGAGAAUAUAUUUUUUUUUUGUUAACAACGUAAACAAUGUUACGGUGGUAUCCUACGUUUCCGUCUUCCCUACGACUUACGUCGUAAAAGUACUAUUUUACCAGCGAUACGCGGAAUACAGAAGAUCGAACACGGUUAUUUGCGUGAACAUUUUUUUAUCUGCAUCGAUUAACAGCAUGUAACAAUGUAUUUAAUUAUC